rnacentral:lncRNA from 1 species
CUACCCGCCGCGCGCUCUCGGCCGGCCUGUGAGGCACAACCCUCCCCCCACCUCCCCUUCUUGGUCUUCGCGAGUGUGGGAGCCUCGCGGCACUGGCGAGUCCCUCCAG